rnacentral:rRNA from 1 species
GAAGGAGGAGCUUGCUUCUCUGGAUGAGUUGCGAACGGGUGAGUAACGCGUAGGUAACCUGCCUGGUAGCGGGGGAUAACUAUUGGAAACGAUAGCUAAUACCGCAUAACAGUAGAUGUUGCAUGACAUUUGCUUAAAAGGUGCAAUUGCAUCACUACCAGAUGGACCUGCGUUGUAUUAGCUAGUUGGUGGGGUGACGGCUCACCAAGGCGACGAUACAUAGCCGACCUGAGAGGGUGAUCGGCCACACUGGGACUGAGACACGGCCCAGACUCCUACGGGAGGCAGCAGUAGGGAAUCUUCGGCAAUGGACGGAAGUCUGACCGAGCAACGCCGCGUGAGUGAAGAAGGUUUUCGGAUCGUAAAGCUCUGUUGUAAGAGAAGAACGAGUGUGAGAGUGGAAAGUUCACACUGUGACGGUAUCUUACCAGAAAGGGACGGCUAACUACGUGCCAGCAGCCGCGGUAAUACGUAGGUCCCGAGCGUUGUCCGGAUUUAUUGGGCGUAAAGCGAGCGCAGGCGGUUAGAUAAGUCUGAAGUUAAAGGCUGUGGCUUAACCAUAGUACGCUUUGGAAACUGUUUAACUUGAGUGCAAGAGGGGAGAGUGGAAUUCCAUGUGUAGCGGUGAAAUGCGUAGAUAUAUGGAGGAACACCGGUGGCGAAAGCGGCUCUCUGGCUUGUAACUGACGCUGAGGCUCGAAAGCGUGGGGAGCAAA